rnacentral:rRNA from 1 species
UUGAACUGAAGAGUUUGAUCCUGGCUCAGAUUGAACGCUGGCGGCAUGCCUUACACAUGCAAGUCGAACGGCAGCACGGGCUUCGGCCUGGUGGCGAGUGGCGAACGGGUGAGUAAUACAUCGGAACAUGUCCUGUAGUGGGGGAUAGCCCGGCGAAAGCCGGAUUAAUACCGCAUACGAUCCACGGAUGAAAGCGGGGGACCUUCGGGCCUCGCGCUAUAGGGUUGGCCGAUGGCUGAUUAGCUAGUUGGUGGGGUAAAGGCCUACCAAGGCGACGAUCAGUAGCUGGUCUGAGAGGACGACCAGCCACACUGGGACUGAGACACGGCCCAGACUCCUACGGGAGGCAGCAGUGGGGAAUUUUGGACAAUGGGCGCAAGCCUGAUCCAGCAAUGCCGCGUGUGUGAAGAAGGCCUUCGGGUUGUAAAGCACUUUUGUCCGGAAAGAAAUCCCUGGUCCUAAUACGAUCGGGGGAUGACGGUACCGGAAGAA